rnacentral:misc_RNA from 1 species
CCAUCACGAGCUCCGCCGCGCCGGCGAGCUCGUCCGCGACCGCGAUCUGCGUCGCGUGCAGCUCGUAGCCGAAGCGGUCGCGGACGCCGCGGAGGUCGAGCAAGGGCGUCAGACCUGCGACGCCGAGCGCGACGUCGGUCGUCCCCUGGCGGAACGGGCGCCCGAACGAGUCGCUCACGAUCACGCCGACGUCGCGGCCGGCCCGGUCGCGGAUCGCCUCGCGGAUGCGCGCGGCCGAGGCGUCCGGAUCGACCGGGAGCAGGAUCAGCGUCCCCUCCCCCUUUGCGUUCGAGGCGUCGACGCCCGCCGACGCGCAGACGUAGCCGUGUCUCGUCUCCGCGAUGAUCAGCGGCGGCCGCACCCGGACGACGUGGGCGCUCUCGCGCAGGAUCCACUCGAC